GACCCCAGGAUGGGCGAGGCCACCCGCCGAGUUUAAGCAUAUCAAUAAGCGGAGGACGAAAAAUCUUCCA
rnacentral:rRNA from 1 species